UACGGGGGGGGCAAGCGUUGUUCGGAAUUACUGGGCGUAAAGGGCUCGUAGGCGGCCAACUAAGUCGGGACGUGAAAUCCCCAGGCUCAACCUGGGAACUGCGUCCGAUACUGGAUGGCUUGAAUUCGGGAGAGGGAUGCAGAAUUCCAGGUGUAGCGGUGAAAUGCGUAGAUAUGCGGAGGAACACCGAUGGCGAAGGCAAUCCCCUGGGCCUGCACUGACGCUCAUGCACGAAAGCGUGGGGAGCAAACAGG
rnacentral:rRNA from 1 species